CAAACUUACAAAAGACGCUUCUGAAAGUGGAACAGACAGGAAAAGCACCCAAUUUGGGUUUGUUUCUGAGUAUCUAUUUAUGGAAUUUUCCGAAGUCGGUCCUUUCGGUGUGUCGUAGACAGGGGAUUCCAUCUCAAUCUACCUUGAAAGGAAAUUGAAUUAAACAAGCAUUUGAUGAGAAAAACAAGGCUGAGAGAGGUCAAAGUCCACAAUACCAGCAUAUGGCGAACACUACCCAGGAGCAGAGCAUGGUGUGGCUGGAGUUCAAAUCCACACUGGCCUGACCCCAGCUGUAAACACUCUCACCACAUCAGCAAAACUCCCUCUGAAUUCAGUCUGCUUGAACCAAACUGAACAGAAGUGAAUUGUCCCAUCUGUUGUCAAAACCAUCCUCCCUGACUUCAAAGAACCCUGGCUCUGAAGGGAGAGACCCCUGAGGUGCAGAGAGAGAUGGAAAUGGAGCCCCUGGCCCUCCUAUCAGCCGCUUCAGUCUCUGGGGCCUGGAGCCGCAUACGGCCACUGCCUGUCAUCCCAGCUGACUUCUCUUUGAAUCUGAGGCUCUUCUCAACCCCCAGCCUUCCCCUUAGCCCAAACAUACCCAGAGCCCACUUUCUGUUUGAAGUGGACGUGCGACUCUUCACACGUGCCGCUGCAAACGUGCAAGGGCAUCAGAGGAACCAGGCUCCCCGUGGGGCCGCCUAAGCCUCCGCCAGCAUUGAGAGCUUUCAGCCGCUCACGGCUCUCGGGGUGAUAAUGGCAUUCUGGGCUUUUCCACAGGGAUCCCUAGGCCCCUGAGGGAUCUUAAUUAAAGCGGCUUUGUGGGUCUUGGAAGGAAACACGGGCCCAGAACUCAGCGUGGGAGCUUGUUUUGAAUUCUGGUUCAGUUUCUGCCUAGGCUCUUUGGUUCAUGGAGCAAAGGAAAUGGAGGAACUGGACCCAACUGUCUCGGUCCCAAAGCCAAAGCCUCUGCUUUCAUGUUAGUGAUCUAGAGCUCUACUGCAGAACAUCACCUCGGUCAUCUCUUUGCUGGUGUAGAAAUGAUCAGGAAACCAUCCUGGAAAUUGUUCAUAGUACCAUGGAUUGGAGUGAUUUUCUCUUUCUCCUUUCUUUGUUCUGAGGAAAAGAGAAAUAGAUUUGUAAAAUAAUUCAUGAUCUUGAAAUUUAAUUAUAUAUACUAGCUACUACCUUCCAAUGAAUGAUAUUUACAUGAAAAUACUGAACUGUUUUGCUAUACAGCAAGUAUCUCCCUAGACAUUUUUUUUUUUUAAAGAUUUUAUUGAUUUAUUUGAGACAGAGAGAAUGAGAGAGACAGAGAGCACACGAGAGGGGGGAGGGUCAGAGGGAGAAGCAGGCUCCCUGCCAAGCAGGGAGCCCGAUGCGGGACUCGAUCCCAGGACUCCAGGAUCAUGACCUGAGCCGAAGGCAGUCGCCCAACCAACUGAGCCACCCAGGCGCCCCUCCCUAGACAUUUU